CAAUAUUUCAGUGUAGGAAGACAGGUAGUAGACAUAUUAGCCGAUAAUAUAUCACAUGAUGAUAAAUGCUAUUAAAAAAAAAGGCAGUGAGUACAGAUGAUGAAAAGAAGGAGUCCAAGGACUGACCUUUGGGCACCCCAUCAUUUAGAAGUCUGGUAGCUGAAGAAGAAACCAGCAAGGAAAAGUGCCAAUCAUGAAUGAGUGGUGUCCUAAAAGCUGAGUGAAGAGAGUGUGUCAAGGAGAAGAGAGUGAUUAAUGGAUUUCCUGCUGCUGAUAGGUCAGAGAGCUCUUGGAAGAGAGAUACUCAAUUUGGAUCCAGUUAGAAUUACUAACACGGGAUGGGCUGCAACACGGCAGGUUUCCAAUUGUGUUUCUUAGGCUUGAAACUGUUCCCAGAAGCAAAGACGAUGAAGGCUUCAUUUGUUUGGCAUGAAAAUAAAAUAAAAAAAACCAAAACACCACUUUACAAAGGGGUUUAAGGCAAAUCUUUUCUUCCCUAUUAUUCUUAUCCCCCAUCCCCUACUGUUGGCUAAUCCUUGAAUUUUAAGCUCUUUUGGGAAAGAGCAAUAUUUUUUAUAACUAUUUUUCCUAAACCAGACUAAGUGGAAGCAUUGAAUCUAUUUUAUUUGAUGCAUUUAAUAAGGUUUUAAUUGUAAUAAUUACAGUUAAAUAGUUCAACAUCCCAAACAUCCUAGUACUUUAGGUGGCCUGGGGAAAUGGAUCUCAUAAGAAUAUAUAAUAACAUAAUGAUCACUUGAAAAGCCAGGGUUUUAUACUCUUUGUAUCUGAUGACUAACACACUGGGUUCAAGAAGCACAGAAUCUGAUCUCCACCUCCUUGUCCUUUCAUUGCUACUAAAACAGCACAGCCAACCAGCUAGGGCAGUUGGUCAAAUAUUUAAUACUUUGAUGUGUGUGUGUGUGUGUGUGUGUGUGUGUGUGCGCGCGCGCGCGUGCGCAU